rnacentral:rRNA from 1 species
AUGUUCAAUAUUUUCUUUAAAAAUGCUGGCCGUGUACUGAAUGAAAUGUAUGUGUCAUUUCCAAAAAAUGUUCAUAAACAUACAAUAAUUUUUUUGCACGUUUUACAACAUAUUCAUGACAGUUUUGAAAAACAAAUGUGUUUAAAAAUGUUCAAUAUGCAUUCUGCAAAAAUAUGCAACAUGUAUUUGGAAGAAUGUUCAAUGAGUACUUACAAAAUGUUUAAUGUUUUCAACUUAUAUACAAAAAUGGUCAACAUGUGUUUAGAAAAGGUCGACAAUGUAUUUGAGAACCAAAAGAAGGGAAAAGGAAACAAAGAAGAAAAAAAAGUAAAAAGCUGA